rnacentral:tRNA from 1 species
AGUGAGGUAAGCUAAAAAUUCAAGCUACCAGGUUCAUACCCUGCUCAUAGGAUAAUAUUCCUCCUCCCUA